rnacentral:rRNA from 1 species
UGUCUGGUGGGUAGUUUGACUGGGGCGGUCUCCUCCUAAAGAGUAACGGAGGAGCACGAAGGUUGGCUAAUCCUGGUCGGACAUCAGGAGGUUAGUGCAAUGGCAUAAGCCAGCUUGACUGCGAGCGUGACGGCGCGAGCAGGUGCGAAAGCAGGUCAUAGUGAUCCGGUGGUUCUGAAUGGAAGGGCCAUCGCUCAACGGAUAAAAGGUACUCCGGGGAUAACAGGCUGAUACCGCCCAAGAGUUCAUAUCGACGGCGGUGUUUGGCACCUCGAUGUCGGCUCAUCACAUCCUGGGGCUGAAGUAGGUCCCAAGGGUAUGGCUGUUCGCCAUUUAAAGUGGUACGCGAGCUGGGUUUAGAACGUCGUGAGACAGUUCGGUCCCUAUCUGCCGUGGGCGCUGGAGAACUGAGGGGGGCUGCUCCUAGUACGAGAGGACCGGAGUGGACGCAUCACUGGUGUUCGGGUUGUCAUGCCAAUGGCACUGCCCGGUAGCUAAAUGCGGAAGAGAUAAGUGCUGAAAGCAUCUAAGCACGAAACUUGCCCCGAGAUGAGUUCUCCCUGAGACUUAGAGUCUCCUGAAGGAACGUUGAAGACGACGACGUUGAUAGGCCGGGUGUGUAAGCGCAGCGAUGCGUUGAGCUAACCGGUACUAAUGAACCGUGAGGCUUAACCUUACAACGCCGAAG